rnacentral:lncRNA from 1 species
CACUCCAGCCUGGGUGACAGAGCGAGACUCCGACUCAAAAAAAAAGAACACUUAUGUGUCUUUAAGAUCAUAAAACUGUAAAUUCAACUGAAGAACAAAAUGCACAAGGAAAAGAUAAAUUUCUUGAUAUAUAUGAAACACAAGAAAGAAAAAGAAGAUUGAAAAGAGCCAUAUGUUUUCAAUGUAUGUUUCUUUGUAUUUUGUGUGUUUUUAUGUGUUUAUUUUUGUGUUUUUUUAUGUUAUGUGAUGUUUGUGUAUUUUUGAUAUUUUUAUAAGAUGCCUUACCUCCAACAUCUGGGAUUACAAUUCAACAUGAGAUUUGGUGGGAACACAGAUCCAAACCAUAUCACGCACAAAUUGCAAUUACUUCACACUCACGAUAACCCAUUAAUCUGUGAAGGAUUAAUCUGUUCAUGAAGGCAGGGCCCUCAUGAUGGAAUCACAUCUUAAAGCCCCUACGUCUGAGUACUGUUACAUUGGGGAUUUAGUUUUAAUAUGAUUUUCAGAGCAGAAAAACAUUCAAACCAUAGCAAUAUGUAUUGAAUAUCUAGAUCAUUUCCAAAUAAGAUAUUAAUAUGAUACUGAAACAUUUAUUGCUGAACAUAAAUUUAGAACUUACUUUGCCUACCUAUUACAGAAGAACAAAAGAUAUUUGGGCCUAUUAAACCUUUCCUCUGCCAUUUCCUGUCCUGUGUCAUAGGACUAGGAAUCGUGUUUCUAGAAAGUAUGAAAUCGUGUGCUUGCAAACUUGGAAGAAAACAGUUCAUGACUGCAUACCUUCUAGUUCUCUAGUGUUCACUGGAAAUUAAAGACACUAAAAGUUAACAAUUCUUAUUAAUUAAUCAUAUUAAUGUAAUUGGAAUUUCUAGAAAUAUUAGGGGAAGCAACUUUAUACGCAAAGCAUAACAGAAAAAUAAGGUGUAUUUUUUCUUUGAAACCUAUGAAAUAUACUGGCCAGGCACGGUGGCUCAUGCUUGUAAUCCCAGCACUUUGGGAAGCUGAGGCGGUGGAUCACCUGAGCUCAGGAGUUCGAGACCAGCCUGGCCAACAUGUUGAAACCAUGUCUCUACUAAAAAUACAAAAAUUAGCCAGUCAUGGUGGCAGGUGCCUGUAACCCCAGUUACUCCGGAGGCUGAGGUGGGAGAAUCGCUUGAACCCAGGAGGUGGAGGUUGCAGUGAGCCAAGAUAGCACCACUGCACUCCAGCCUGGGCGACAAAGCAAGACUCUUUCUAAAAAAACAAAAAUGAAUAAACAAAAAAACUAUGAGACAGAAAAGAUGGGUUUUUGUUAAAAUAAAAAAUAAUAUUGUUUUAGUUUGAAAAUUAUUCAAAGGUUGUUUCAAAAUGAAUCAAUAAAAAACAUAAAACUGAAUGGAUAUUGUCUUAGUCUAUUUUGUGCUACUAUAACAGAACAUCUGAGACUGAGUGAUUUACGUAAAU